rnacentral:rRNA from 1 species
AGUGAACGCUGGCGGUAGGCCUAACACAUGCAAGUCGAACGGCAGCACAGUAAGAGCUUGCUCUUACGGGUGGCGAGUGGCGGACGGGUGAGGAAUACAUCGGAAUCUACUUUUUCGUGGGGGAUAACGUAGGGAAACUUACGCUAAUACCGCAUACGACCUACGGGUGAAAGCAGGGGAUCUUCGGACCUUGCGCGAUUGAAUGAGCCGAUGUCGGAUUAGCUAGUUGGCGGGGUAAAGGCCCACCAAGGCGACGAUCCGUAGCUGGUCUGAGAGGAUGAUCAGCCACACUGGAACUGAGACACGGUCCAGACUCUUACGGGAGGCAGCGGUGGGGAAUAUUGGACAAUGGGCGCAAGCCUGAUCCAGCCAUACCGGGGGGUGAAGAAGGCCUUCGGGUUGUAAAGCCCUUUUGUUGGGAAAGAAAAGCAGCAGGUUAAUACCCCGCUAUUCUGACGGUACCCAAAGAAUAAGCACCGGCUAACUUCGUG